CACUGAUAUAUUAACUCCUACUUAUUCAGAGAGGUCAAUUCCAUCUUGACUCACACACCGACUUCACAAGUAUUUGACUAUGCCCAAAAAUCUUUCAUCAUUGAAUUAAAAAUUCAGGUAGUCUAGCACCAAAGUAUAGUGAGUUGCUUGCAAGUCACCGUGGUGAUCUCAGAUCGGAGGGACACUUAUACCUAUAUCCCUUCGUAGUGACU
rnacentral:lncRNA from 1 species